rnacentral:lncRNA from 1 species
UAUGGGGGAUAACGAAAAUUAUGAAGCAUUUCUGUUUCCUUCUCUCUCUGAUCUCACUCAAUCCUCUCUUACUCUGAAUUCUCAAUUCUCUUCUUAAUCUCUUCUUCCCUUUUUCAAUAAUCUCACCAUUAUUCAAUUCCUUGAGCUCAAGAGCUUGACAAAAUUGGUAUCCAGAGCUAUUGAUCCUUGGUUCUAAACGGCAGAGAGCAUAAGAUUCGAGACACUAGAAGAACAAGUUAAAAGGCAGGAAAUCAGGCUUCCAGAAAUAAUGGAAUCUGUGCAUUCUUCACAAUCUGCAUAGCAACAGAUCAGAAAUGAGAUAAAACAAGAAUUGGAGGAAAAUAAUAAGAGAAUGGAGCAUCUGGUGGUUGGAAUGGAAUAGAACUUCAGUUCCUUUAUGGAACAGAAAUUC